GGCCAGACUCCUACGGAGGCAGCAGUGGGGAAUAUUGGACAAUGGGGGGAACCCUGAUCCAGCGACGCCGCGUGAGUGAAGAAGUAUUUCGGUAUGUAAAGCUCUAUCAGCAGGGAAGAAAGAAAUGACGGUACCUGACUAAGAAGCCCCGGCUAACUACGUGCCAGCAGCCGCGGUAAUACGUAGGGGGCAAGCGUUAUCCGGAUUUACUGGGUGUAAAGGGAGCGUAGACGGCGAUGCAAGCCAGAUGUGAAAGCCCGGGGCUCAACCCCGGGACUGCUCUUGGAACUGCGUGGCUGGAGUGCAGGAGGGGCAGGCGGAAUUCCUAGUGUAGCGGUGAAAUGCGUAGAUAUUAGGAGGAACACCAGUGGCGAAGGCGGCCUGCUGGACGAUGACUGACGUUGAGGCUCGAAAGCGUGGGGAGCAAACAGGAUUAGAUACCCGGGUAGA
rnacentral:rRNA from 1 species